UUAAAUUGAUUAUUGUAAUGCUUGACAUUUUAGGUUUAGAUAUUUUAAGAAAAAUUCUUUCUAAUGCCCUUUUCAUGAUGCCUCUUUUCAACUCUACCCUUUUGUUUUAUUCAUUUUCAUUUCUACCCUCUUUAAAUUUUUAAUGACCAUUUUACCCCUAUUUGGAAAUUAUCUUAUGUUAACAAAAAU
rnacentral:sRNA from 1 species